GGUAACGGUGUUGGUGCAAGCUGGUUUUGACGAGACCAUGCAGGAGGCUCUCCCUGGUUUGCUGUUCAGUGCUGGAUGACAUGCUCUCCUGUGUGCUGGAUACUUAGCAUAGCAAGCAGACCCUGCAGUCUGGUGAAACAGCAGCUGAAUGAUGGUGAAGUGGAAAAGGCUGCUAAUCAAACAGAAUUAUAGAACAUACAUAUCAAUCCAUAAUAUUCACUGUUGGCAGUAAUAUUCAAGGUAGAGGAGCUGCUGUCUCAACUGCAGUAAGUACUGGAGACUCAUGAGGUUAACUGGAAGCAUGUGCUCUCCUGUCUCUCCACCCUGCUCGUGUACAAUCCAAACACACAGUCAAGCC